GACUCUCGGCAACGGAUAUCUCGGCUCACGCAUCGAUGAAGAACGUAGCAAAAUGCGAUACUUGGUGUGAAUGGCAGAAUCCCGUGAACCAUCGAGUUUUUGAACGCAAGUUGCGCCCGAAGCCAUCCGGUUGAGGGCACGCCUGCCUGGGCGUCACGCAUCCU
rnacentral:rRNA from 1 species